rnacentral:rRNA from 1 species
UACGUAGGGUGCAAGCGUUGUCCGGAAUUAUUGGGCGUAAAGGGCUCGUAGGCGGUCCAUCACGUCGGGAGUGAAAAGCUGGGGCUUAACCCCAGUCCUGCUUCCGAUACGGGCAGGCUAGAGUUCGGUAGGGGAGACUGGAAUUCCUGGUGUAGCGGUGAAAUGCGCAGAUAUCAGGAGGAACACCGGUGGCGAAGGCGGCAUCCUGGACCGGUAUUGACACUGAGACGCGAAAGCGUGGGGAGCGAACAGG